UAUAUUAUAUAAAUAAGUAAAGAAACAUAAGAAACAGAAUGAAAGCAAACGAAACAGAGAAGAAACAGGGGAGAAAGAAAGAAAGGAAAAGAAAAAGGAAAAUUUGGGUUUCAAGGCUCAAAGUUUAAUUUGUCAAUGUGGUACCGGAAAUCUCGGCUAAGAAAGGACAAGACAAAGUCAACGGGAGUUAGCUUGAAAAUUACGGUUUAGUAAAGAUAGAACGUUGAAUCAGCAUCCCAGUUCGAUCCCGAAUUCAUUAAGGUAAAGUGUGUUAAUUAUUGGUAAUGGCAUGUACCUAGGAUGUUUUAUGAGAGUCAUUUAGGUUGUAGAUGUACUCAUGAAAUGAGUAAAUUAUGGUUGGCAACGGUAUGUAGUAUGAAUUUUGAAAUUUACUAAAAAUUCGUAGUGAUUCUAAA